CCUGCGGAAGGAUCAUUACCGAGUGCGGGUCCUUUGGGCCCAACCUCCCAUCCGUGUCUAUUGUACCCUGUUGCUUCGGCGGGCCCGCCGCUUGUCGGCCGCCGGGGGGGCGCCUCUGCCCCCCGGGCCCGUGCCCGCCGGAGACCCCAACACGAACACUGUCUGAAAGCGUGCAGUCUGAGUUGAUUGAAUGCAAUCAGUUAAAACUUUCAACAAUGGAUCUCUUGGUUCCGGCAUCGAUGAAGAACGCAGCGAAAUGCGAUAACUAAUGUGAAUUGCAGAAUUCAGUGAAUCAUCGAGUCUUUGAACGCACAUUGCGCCCCCUGGUAUUCCGGGGGGCAUGCCUGUCCGAGCGUCAUUGCUGCCCUCAAGCCCGGCUUGUGUGUUGGGUCGCCGUCCCCCUCUCCGGGGGGACGGGCCCGAAAGGCAGCGGCGGCACCGCGUCCGAUCCUCGAGCGUAUGGGGCUUUGUCACAUGCUCUGUAGGAUUGGCCGGCGCCUGCCGACGUUUUCCAACCAUUCUUUCCAGGUUGACCUCGGAUCAGGUAGGGAUACCCGCUGAACUUAAGCAUAUCAAUAAGCGGA
rnacentral:rRNA from 1 species